UACGUAGGGGGCGAGCGUUGUCCGGAAUCAUUGGGCGUAAAGCGCGUGUAGGCGGCCCGGUAAGUCCGCUGUGAAAGUCCAGGGCUCAACCCUGGGAUGCCGGUGGAUACUGUCGGGCUCGAGUCCGGAAGAGGCGAGUGGAAUUCCUGGUGUAGCGGUGAAAUGCGCAGAUAUCAGGAAGAACACCAACGGCGAAGGCAGCUCGCUGGGACGGUACUGACGCUGAGACGCGAAAGCGUGGGGAGCGAACAGG
rnacentral:rRNA from 1 species